rnacentral:rRNA from 1 species
UGUCGUAACAAGGUUUCCGUAGGUGAACCUGCGGAAGGAUCAUUAUCACUCGAUUCAAACAUCCACUUUGUGAAGACGCAUUAUUUUGUCAGGUGUCGCGAGGCACCAACCCACAUGAUAAAACCAACCAAUCUAUAUGAAAACCAACCAUACAAAAACCGAUCCGACAUGCGAUGCGCGUCUCUCUCUCUCUCGUUUGAGAGAGUGCGAUGUUUGCGUGUUUGGAUGUUGAAAAAGAACCAAAACAACUUUCAGCAAGGGAUGUCUUGGCUCUCGCAACGAUGAAGACCGCAGCGAAAUGCGAAACGUAAUGCGAAUUGCAGAACUCAGUGAAUCAUCGAAUUGUUGAACGCACAUUGCGCUUCUGUUAGGGCAGGAGCAUGCUUGUUUCAGUGCCCGUGUCCCCCCUCCGCGUGGACUUUCUUGUUGAGAGAGAGUGUUGUGCGGGACGAGUGGGCGUCUUCCUGAACCGACGUCGCCCCAAGGGAUGCACUGCGGACUCACGACGACGAGCCGUCCUGAAAGGGAUGGUUCGGCACUUUGUCGGUUGUCGACUAUGACGUGUAUUGCGUCGUGGCGUAGCAGCUUCUGCAAGGAAGAUGUUCGCUGCACCUGCUAUAUGCGUGAUGGCGCCGAUGUGGUGUGAACGUGGUGGUAUGUCGAGCAGAACGGCCGCCUCCUUGUCGUACGACAAGGAUGCAAGAAUCUUGCCGUCCCCUCUCUUUGUGGGACGACAAGAACCAAAAAAAUUGGGUCUGAAAUCAAGCAAGAGUACCCGCUGGAUUUAAGCAUAUAAUUAAGCGGAGGAAAAGAAACCAACCGGGAUUCCCUCAGUAACGGCGAGUGAAGCGGGAAGAGCUCAAGCUAGAAUCUGGCUCUUGUCAUGAGAGUCCGAGUUGUAGUCUAUAGGCCUCGUUCGAGUCGGCGUGUCUUGGAAUAAGUCCGUUGGAAUACGGCGGCAGAGAGGGUGAGACCCCCGUGCUUCCGAGACGCGCUGAGUUUGCGACUUGUGCCUGAGAGUCGGGUUGCUUGGGAGUGCAGCUCUAAGUGGGUGGUGAAUUCCAUCCAAGGCUAAAUACCGGCGAGAGACCGAUAGCGAACAAGUACCGUGAGGGAAAGAUGCAAAGAACUUUGAAAAGAGAGUUAAACAGUACCUGAAAUUGCUGAGAGGGAAUCGGUUGCAUCCAGUCGGCUCGUUUGGAUAGGUGUGAAAAGCUCUUUUCCAAGCGGGCGCGUCAGGGCGGGUUGUGUUCGCGGUUGACCCCCGAGAUCUGUGCGAUCCGGCUUAUUCCGCGGACGUGACCGAGGCAUGAAUCGCGCGCCAUCAGGCAGGCUUGAACGUGAGAGGCAUUCGAAGCUUGGUAGGACUGCUUGCAGUGCUGCUUUGUGAGGAGUCUUGUUGCGUUGUGGCUCUAGCGCGGUCGAGGCCCUGGCCAAAUGGGUGUCACCGUCCCGUCUUGAAACACGGACCAAGGAGUCUAACAUGUAUGCGAGUGUUCGGGUGGCAAACCCUUGCGCGCAAUGAAAGUGAGGGUGUGUAUGCACCGAGGUGGGAGCUCUCCCUUCGGGGAGGGCGCACCAUCGACCGACCAUGUCCCCACGGGGUAAAGGUUCGGGUGAGAGCAAUAUCUGUUGGGACCCGAAAGAUGGUGAACUAUGCGUGA